rnacentral:rRNA from 1 species
UACAGAGGGUGCAAGCGUUGUUCGGAAUUAUUGGGCGUAAAGCGCGUGUAGGCGGCUUUGCAAGUCGGGUGUGAAAUCCCUCAGCUCAACUGAGGAAGUGCGCCCGAAACUGCAUGGCUCGAGUACCGGAGAGGUUGGUGGAAUUCUCGGUGUAGAGGUGAAAUUCGUAGAUAUCGAGAGGAACACCGGCGGCGAAGGCGGCCAACUGGACGAGUACUGACGCUGAGACACGAAAGCGUGGGGAGCAAACAGG